UACGUAGGGGGCAAGCGUUGUCCGGAAUCAUUGGGCGUAAAGCGCGUGUAGGCGGCUGAGUAAGUCUGCUCUGAAAGCCCGGGGCGUCAACCCCGGGACGGCGGGUGGAUACUGCUCAGCUCGAGUCCGGAAGAGGAGUGUGGAAUUCCUGAUGUAGACGGUGAAAUGCGCAGAUAUCAGGAGGAACACCAAUGGCGAAGGCAGCACUCUGGGACGGU
rnacentral:rRNA from 1 species